UACGUAGGGGCGAGCGUUGUCCGGAUUUAUUGGGCGUAAAGAGCUCGUAGGCGGUUUGGUAAGUCGGGUGUGAAAUCUCCACGCUCAACGUGGAGGGGCCACUCGAUACUGCCAUGCUCGAGUCCGGUAGAGGAGUGUGGAAUUCCCGGUGUAGCGGUGAAAUGCGCAGAUAUCGGGAGGAACACCCGUAGCGAAGGCGGCACUCUGGGCCGGAACUGGACGCUGAGGAGC
rnacentral:rRNA from 1 species